rnacentral:rRNA from 1 species
UACGGAGGGUGCAAACGUUGCUCGGAAUCAUUGGGCGUAAAGCGCACGUAGGCGGACUGUUAAGUCGGAUGUGAAAUCCCUCAGCUUAACUGAGGAAGUGCACUCGAAACUGGCAGUCUUGAAUAUGGAAGAGGGUCGCGGAAUUCCCGGUGUAGAGGUGAAAUGCGUAGAUAUCUGGAGGAACACCGGUGGCGAAGGCGGCAUCCUGGACCGACACUGACGCUGAUGCGCGAAAGCCAGGGGAGCAAACGGG